UACGUAGGUGGCAAGCGUUGUCCGGAUUUAUUGGGUUUAAAGGGUGCGUAGGCGGUCCUAUAAGUCAGUGCUGAAAUAUCCCGGCCUAACCGGGAGGGUGGCAUUGAUACUGUUGGACUUGAGUAAAGUUGAGGUUGGCGGAAUUGACGGUGUAGCGGUGAAAUGCUUAGAUAUCGUCAAGAACACCGAUUGCGAAGGCAGCUAACUAAGCUUUAACUGACGCUGAGGCACGAAAGUGUGGGGAUCAAACAGG
rnacentral:rRNA from 1 species